rnacentral:rRNA from 1 species
CAGAACAUGGCGCAGGCUACACAUGCAGUCGAGCGGUAGCACAGAGAGCUUGCUCUCGGGUGACGAGCGGCGGACGGGUGAGUAAUGUCUGGGAAACUGCCUGAUGGAGGGGGAUAACUACUGGAAACGGUAGCUAAUACCGCAUAACGUCGCAAGACCAAAGUGGGGGACCUUCGGGCCUCAUGCCAUCAGAUGUGCCCAGAUGGGAUUAGCUAGUAGGUGGGGUAACGGCUCACCUAGGCGACGAUCCCUAGCUGGUCUGAGAGGAUGACCAGCCACACUGGAACUGAGACACGGUCCAGACUCCUACGGGAGGCAGCAGUGGGGAAUAUUGCACAAUGGGCGCAAGCCUGAUGCAGCCAUGCCGCGUGUAUGAAGAAGGCCUUCGGGUUGUAAAGUACUUUCAGCGGGGAGGAAGGCGAUAAGGUUAAUAACCUUGUCGAUUGACGUUACCCGCAGAAGAAGCACCGGCUAACUCCGUGCCAGCAGCCGCGGUAAUACGGAGGGUGCAAGCGUUAAUCGGAAUUACUGGGCGUAAAGCGCACGCAGGCGGUCUGUCAAGUCGGAUGUGAAAUCCCCGGGCUCAACCUGGGAACUGCAUUCGAAACUGGCAGGCUAGAGUCUUGUAGAGGGGGGUAGAAUUCCAGGUGUAGCGGUGAAAUGCGUAGAGAUCUGGAGGAAUACCGGUGGCGAAGGCGGCCCCCUGGACAAAGACUGACGCUCAGGUGCGAAAGCGUGGGGAGCAAACAGGAUUAGAUACCCUGGUAGUCCACGCCGUAAACGAUGUCGAUUUGGAGGUUGUGCCCUUGAGGCGUGGCUUCCGGAGCUAACGCGUUAAAUCGACCGCCUGGGGAGUACGGCCGCAAGGUUAAAACUCAAAUGAAUUGACGGGGGCCCGCACAAGCGGUGGAGCAUGUGGUUUAAUUCGAUGCAACGCGAAGAA